rnacentral:piRNA from 1 species
UACCAGAAUUGGGGAAGCACUUGA